UACGUAGGGUGCGAGCGUUGUCCGGAAUUAUUGGGCGUAAAGGGCUCGUAGGCGGUCUGUUGCGUCGGGAGUGAAAACUCAGGGCUUAACCCUGAGCCUGCUUCCGAUACGGGCAGACUUGAGUUCGGCAGGGGAGACUGGAAUUCCUGGUGUAGCGGUGAAAUGCGCAGAUAUCAGGAGGAACACCGGUGGCGAAGGCGGGUCUCUGGGCCGAUACUGACGCUGAGGUGCGAAAGCGUGGGGAGCAAACAGG
rnacentral:rRNA from 1 species